rnacentral:misc_RNA from 1 species
GGUGUUUCAAUUCUUGAAGAUUUGCAUCAGCAGCGCCAAACUCUCCUACAUGCUCAUAAUAAGCUUCAUGGAGUAGAUGAUGCCAUUGACAAAAGUAAGAAAGUCUUGUCAUCGAUGUCAAGAAGAAUAACCAGAAACAAGUGGAUUGUUGGCUCAGUGAUCGCUGCUCUUGUGCUCGCAAUUAUCUUUAUUAUCUCAUUCAAGGUUUCUCAUCACUAAAAAACACUUUGAAUUGUUUGGUACGUGCUAUACUUUGUUAAUUCCAUGUAUUCUGUAUAUAUUAUUACCAGUAUUUCAC